CAGGCUUAACACAUGCAAGUCGAGGGGCAGCAUGGUCUUAGCUUGCUAAGGCCGAUGGCGACCGGCGCACGGGUGAGUAACACGUAUCCAACCUGCCGUCUACUCUUGGACAGCCUUCUGAAAGGAAGAUUAAUACAAGAUGGCAUCAUGAGUCCGCAUGUUCACAUGAUUAAAGGUAUUCCGGUAGACGAUGGGGAUGCGUUCCAUUAGAUAGUAGGCGGGGUAACGGCCCACCUAGUCUUCGAUGGAUAGGGGUUCUGAGAGGAAGGUCCCCCACAUUGGAACUGAGACACGGUCCAAACUCCUACGGGAGGCAGCAGUGAGGAAUAUUGGUCAAUGGGCGAGAGCCUGAACCAGCCAAGUAGCGUGAAGGAUGACUGCCCUAUGGGUUGUAAACUUCUUUUAUAAAGGAAUAAAGUCGGGUAUGGAUACCCGUUUGCAUGUACUUUAUGAAUAAGGAUCGGCUAACUCCGUGCCAGCAGCCGCGGUAAUACGGAGGAUCCGAGCGUUAUCCGGAUUUAUUGGGUUUAAAGGGAGCGUAGAUGGAUGUUUAAGUCAGUUGUGAAAGUUUGCGGCUCAACCGUAAAAUUGCAGUUGAUACUGGAUAUCUUGAGUGCAGUUGAGGCAGGCGGAAUUCGUGGUGUAGCGGUGAAAUGCUUAGAUAUCACGAAGAACUCCGAUUGCGAAGGCAGCCUGCUAAGCUGCAACUGACAUUGAGGCUCGAAAGUGUGGGUAUCAAACAGGAUUAGAUACCCUGGUAGUCCACACGGUAAACGAUGAAUACUCGCUGUUUGCGAUAUACUGCAAGCGGCCAAGCGAAAGCGUUAAGUAUUCCACCUGGGGAGUACGCCGGCAACGGUGAAACUCAAAGGAAUUGACGGGGGCCCGCACAAGCGGAGGAACAUGUGGUUUAAUUCGAUGAUACGCGAGGAACCUUACCCGGGCUUAAAUUGCAGAUGAAUUACGGUGAAAGCCGUAAGCCGCAAGGCAUCUGUGAAGGUGCUGCAUGGUUGUCGUCAGCUCGUGCCGUGAGGUGUCGGCUUAAGUGCCAUAACGAGCGCAACCCUUGUUGUCAGUUACUAACAGGUUCCGCUGAGGACUCUGACAAGACUGCCAUCGUAAGAUGUGAGGAAGGUGGGGAUGACGUCAAAUCAGCACGGCCCUUACGUCCGGGGCUACACACGUGUUACAAUGGGGGGUACAGAGGGCCGCUACCACGCGAGUGGAUGCCAAUCCCCAAAACCUCUCUCAGUUCGGACUGGAGUCUGCAACCCGACUCCACGAAGCUGGAUUCGCUAGUAAUCGCGCAUCAGCCACGGCGCGGUGAAUACGUUCCCGGGCCUUGUACACACCGCCCGUCAAGCCAUGGGAGCCGGGGGUACCUGAAGUGCGUAACCGCGAGGAGCGCCCUAGGGUAAAACUGGUGACUGGGGCUAAGU
rnacentral:rRNA from 2 species